CAAAGUAUCUGUUGCCCCAUUCAUUUGCAGAUUUUAGAAACGUUAACUCAGAUAAUGUUUUCUAUCAUUUUCUGGACACCUCGCGGGUCCCAGGGAGAGAAAGCCGGAAAAGAGAAUGCAGCCUAUAGAAGUGGGAAGAGCACUGGACUUGAAGUCAGAGGACCAUCAUCUCAAGUUAUUUCUGCUCCAUAGGACUCUGUUUCUGUGAAGUAAGUUUAGGCUUUGGGUGGCAUUGGCGUUCUGUGAUUAGGCAGAAGACAUCCUGAGGGCUUCUUAAUUUGUCUCCAUCCCCACAUAGGCGCUCUUUAUGGGAACUGAGUCAUUGAUAGUGGCUUCUAGAAGCUUCCUUGGAGAUGACAGCAAGUUGAUCAUUGCACUUAGCCUGCCUAGUGUUAAAAUUUACUUUGAUUUAUUAGGCAUAUCUGCUUACUAGCCAACAAAGUUCAUAAAGUGAUGUGGGCUGGAUAUAAAAACUAUCAUGUUAAUAGCAUUGUGGAGUUUUAUUUU
rnacentral:lncRNA from 1 species